rnacentral:pre_miRNA from 1 species
AAUAAACCAAUUUUCCACUUUUUGUCUUUAAUUUUUGACUAUUUAUCUUAUUCAAAUUUUUUUGUGAUGGAUAUUUUUGUUUUUAUUAGAUGAUAAAUCAUGAAUAGUAUUUUACGUGUGACUAAUUUUUUUCUAAUUUUUUUAAAAAAAUUUAAAUAAGACGGAUGGUUAAACGUUGGACAUGAAAACCGAAGAAUUCGUUUUUU